rnacentral:rRNA from 1 species
UACGGAGGGGGCAAGCGUUAUUCGGAAUUAUUGGGCGUAAAGGGCGCGUAGGCGGCUAGAUGUGUCAAAGGUGAAAUCCCUCGGCUCAACCGAGGAGCGUCGGCCGAUACUGUCGUUCUUGAGGGAUGCAGAGGAGACUGGAAUUCCCGGUGUAGCGGUGAAAUGUGUAGAGAUCGGGAGGAACACCGGUGGCGAAGGCGGGUCUCUGGGCAUCUCCUGACGCUGAGGCGCGAAAGCGUGGGGAGCAAACGGG